AUUGUUGUAUACGGAUAAAAUUGGGGAUAGAGUUUCCCCCGAUUUUCCAUUGUGAAAUGAGAAAUGAUGUUACUUGUUGUUGGUUCGGGCGAGAUCGAACUUACCACGAAUUAGAACCAGGAACGGACAAACGAUACAACGGGUCUCGAGCAUGUUCGAACCUAGAGAGAGUCAAUCUCGAGUGCGAUGAAGAAUCAAGGAUAAAGGAAAGACGGAUUAAAAGAGACAAACGGGGAGCCGAAAUAUCUGCCAUCAGCUAGGUAUUGUAGCACAAAUCACGUUUGAUAUUGCCAGCAAACCAUAUUUUCGUGGGAGAAAAGGAA
rnacentral:lncRNA from 1 species